GAUCAUGGCUCAGGAUGAACGCUAGCUACAGGCUUAACACAUGCAAGUCGAGGGGCAGCAUGUUGGUUGCUUGCAACCAACGAUGGCGACCGGCGCACGGGUGAGUAACGCGUAUCCAACCUUCCGCACACUCGGGAAUAGCCUUUCGAAGAAAGAUUAAUGCCCGAUGGUUUCCCGAAUCCGCAUGAGGACGGGAAUAAAGAUUCAUCGGUGUGCGAUGGGGAUGCGUCCCAUUAG
rnacentral:rRNA from 1 species